GGGGAAACCCAACUGCAUAAGCAGUUACUGUUAACUGAAUACAUAGGUUAACAGAGCAAACCGGGGGAACUGAAACAUCUAAGUACCCCGAGGAGAAGAAAUCAACCGAGAUUCCGGUAGUAGCGGCGAGCGAACCUGGAUUAGCCCUUAAGCACUCGGUGAAGUAGGUGAACAAGCUGGAAAGCUUGGCGAUACAGGGUGAUAGCCCCGUAACCGACGCUUCAUCGAGCGUGAAAUCGAGUAGGGCGGGACACGUGAUAUCCUGUCUGAAUAUGGGGGGACCAUCCUCCAAGGCUAAAUACUCCUGACUGACCGAUAGUGAACCAGUACCGUGAGGGAAAGGCGAAAAGAACCCCUGUGAGGGGAGUGAAAUAGAACCUGAAACCGUGUACGUACAAGCAGUAGGAGCACCUUCGUGGUGUGACUGCGUACCUUUUGUAUAAUGGGUCAGCGACUUAUAUUCAGUGGCAAGGUUAACCGUAUAGGGGAGCCGUAGCGAAAGCGAGUCUUAACUGGGCGCUCAGUCUCUGGAUAUAGACCCGAAACCGGGUGAUCUAGCCAUGGGCAGGUUGAAGGUUGAGUAACAUCAACUGGAGGACCGAACCGACUAAUGUUGAAAAAUUAGCGGAUGACUUGUGGCUAGGGGUGAAAGGCCAAUCAAACUCGGAGAUAGCUGGUUCUCCCCGAAAGCUAUUUAGGUAGCGCCUCGGACGAAUACUACUGGGGGUAGAGCACUGUUAAGGCUAGGGGGUCAUCCCGACUUACCAACCCUUUGCAAACUCCGAAUACCAGUAAGUACUAUCCGGGAGACACACGGCGGGUGCUAACGUCCGUCGUGGAGAGGGAAACAACCCAGACCGCCAGCUAAGGUCCCAAAGUAUUGCUAAGUGGGAAACGAUGUGGGAAGGCUCAGACAGCUAGGAUGUUGGCUUAGAAGCAGCCAUCAUUUAAAGAAAGCGUAAUAGCUCACUAGUCGAGUCGGCCUGCGCGGAAGAUGUAACGGGGCUAAGCAAUACACCGAAGCUGCGGCAAUGUCUUUUAGACAUUGGGUAGGGGAGCGUUCUGUAAGCCGUUGAAGGUGAAUCGUAAGGUUUGCUGGAGGUAUCAGAAGUGCGAAUGCUGACAUGAGUAACGACAAAGGGGGUGAAAAACCUCCUCGCCGGAAGACCAAGGGUUCCUGUCCAACGUUAAUCGGGGCAGGGUGAGUCGACCCCUAAGGUGAGGCCGAAAGGCGUAAUCGAUGGGAAACGGGUUAAUAUUCCCGUACUUCUGACUAUUGCGAUGGGGGGACGGAGAAGGCUAGGUGGGCCAGGCGACGGUUGUCCUGGUUCAAGUGCGUAGGCUUGAGAGUUAGGUAAAUCCGGCUCUCUCUAAG
rnacentral:rRNA from 1 species